CUUCAAUUCAGUCGAGCCAGUAUGAUAUGUCAAAGGUAGAUAUAUUUUUGCUUUUUUGUCCAAUUGAUGUGAUAAGUCUGGCUCACGGUCCUCUUGCCAAAUUCUCAGUGCUCGCUGCUUGGCCAUGUUGAGUACAUGGGGAUGAUAUCCUCUUUCCAUAAAGCAAUAGCUCAUCUCUAAAAGUUGUUCUUCCCUUUUGGUAGGGUCGUGGUUGUAACGCAGAACCCUCAUAUACUGUG